rnacentral:sRNA from 1 species
GUCAGUGAAGGUCACGCAGCCCUCAUAUGGUGAGGUCUGACCCAAGGCCGGAGUUCUUGUUCUCAGUAGUAUUUUCUGCACUGGUUUAGACCUCUCGGUUCCCUCUAGCGUCCACCCCAUCCCCACCUCCCACCCUGUUCCUUAGAGAGCAGCAGGGGCUUGGGGAGAGGCAAGAGGGGUAAGAGAGGCAGAGCCAGUCUCUCUCACUGCCCCCUCCUGUGCCAUGGUGUCCAGGAGUAACUGCCACACCCCCCUCUGUGUCCCAGUCAACACACUGGUUAAGCCUUCCAGCCCACUGCUCUGCCUUUGUAAAUCUUUAAACAGCUUGAUGAUUAAUUAGUUACUCUGAACCAGGGGUCACUUGAGAGCACCUGCUGCCUGAGGCCUAGGGUACCCUCUCCCCUGUACCCAAGACCUCAACAAGUCCCCAACCACAAGCUCUUGAGAAGCCAGAUGCCAUGCUCUGAUGCCCAUCAACUCCCAGGACGAGACCCAUAUGGGAAGCAGUAGAGGCCAAGCUGACGACUGGAAUUCCAGCAGGCACUGCCACAGCAGGCUUUUUGUAAGUCCUAGGAGUCCACACUCAGGUGCUUAUACUUGUAUGACAAACAUUUUAAUCACUGAGCCAUCCUCCCAGUGCCUGCUCUUGUUUCCAGACUAACGUUUCAGGCCUACAUGCUCCAUAGCAACAGAUAAAUGUAAUUCUUCCGGCCGGGCGUGGCAGUGCACGCCUUUGAUCCCAGCACUCAGGAGGCGGCGUCAGGUGGGUCUCUGUGAGUUUGAGGCCAGCCUGGUCUCCUAGUGAGUACUAUCCAUGUAGCCAGAGCUACCCAUAGAGAGACUCGGUCUCAAAAACAGAAAUUCCACAGCCAAUAAUGUCACCUUUGAUGCCUGUGAGCUGGUGGGAAACAUGGGCUUCGUGGGAACACUUACCAGUGGGUGCCGAGACCCUCUCCUGGCUCCAGCUUCUGGGUCAGCAGGUGACAACUGUAAUACUGCUCAGCUCGUGAGUGUGGCAGAGGGAGAGGAAGUGAUUGACAAGGGGCCUGGUGACAUGGGAGUUUAUUAUUAUCAUGGUCUUUUGCUUUUUAUAUUAUUAUUAUUGUUAUUACUGUUAGUAUUAUUAUUAUUGUUGUUAUUACUGUUGUUGUUGUCUGGAUUUUGUUUUUGUUUUGUUUUGUUUUAGACUCUCUCAGCUGCCGGGAUUAUAGCCAUGCCCAGAUUUACACGGUGCUGAGUGCUGAGCCCAGGGCAUGCUGGGAAGGUACCCGACCACAUCCCCAACCCCAUCAUUUUCAUAAGCAGUAGAUAAUUCCUUUUCUCCAGGCAAGUCUUCGCUGCUCACCUCUUCUUCCAAGAAGCCUUCUCUGGCCACCCCAAGCUAUGUGGCACCUCUGGCCUCCUGCAACAAGGGUCAUUGCUUAUCUAUGGCCACCACACUGACCCCAUGUUGAGGGUACCCUUUGUGAAGCCAGCAAAGGGCUAAAGUCUCAAAGCUGGGACGGUAGACAUGGACACACAGUGGGGGCUCUGAAAAUGUGAUUUUUUUUUUAAAUAUAGCUGUGACCGCAGCCCAGGCUGCCUCCCUCAGAUUGUGCUGGACUGCCUCCCUCAGACUGUGCGGGUUUCUUUGUAUAUCACGGUGCCUGCUGGGGUUAUGUCAAUACAAGCAUUUGCACACA